rnacentral:rRNA from 1 species
UACGUAGGGUGCAAGCGUUAAUCGGAAUUACUGGGCGUAAAGCGUGCGCAGGCGGUUAUGUAAGACAGAUGUGAAAUCCCCAAGCUUAACUUGGGAACUGCAUCCGAUACUGGAUGGCUUGAAUCCGGGAGAGGGAUGCAGAAUUCCAGGUGUAGCGGUGAAAUGCGUAGAUAUCUGGAGGAAUACCGGUGGCGAAGGCGGCAUCCUGGACCGGCAUUGACGCUGAGGAGCGAAAGCUAGGGGAGCAAACGGG